rnacentral:lncRNA from 1 species
GUGGUGUUGAUUUUUAUUUUCUGAAAACUACCGAAGAUUUUGUUUGGAUUUUUGCAAUUAAUUUAUCCAAUUAUCCUUUGAAAGUUCGACGUUUUAGUUGAGCUGUUGUGUAAAUAUGCCUCUCGUUCAAGAAGCUAAGCUGCUGUCAAGAUUUAUUGGUCAACGCACCAGAGGAUUGUAAGUAUAAAUUUUAAAUUAAUUUUAUUACAUACUGUAGUUCAUCUAGUAUUUUGUAUUUUAAAAUAAUUUGGCAUAUAAGGGCAGGUGCAACUGGAAACGGAC